rnacentral:rRNA from 1 species
AAUGAACGUUGGCGGCGUGGAUUAGGCAUGCGAGUCGAGCGAGAACCGUAGCAAUACGGGGACAGCGGCGAAAGGGACAGUAAUGGGUAGAUCAUCUGCCCUGAGGACCGGGAUAGCUGCGGGAAACUGCAGGUAAUACCGGAUAACAUCUCCGGAUUAAAGGUGUGAGUCCGCCUCAGGAUGAGUCUGCCUCCUAUUAGCUAGUUGGUAGGGUAACGGCCUACCAAGGCGGUGAUGGGUAGCGGGUGUGAGAGCACGACCCGCGUCAUUGGGACUGAGACACUGCCCAGACACCUACGGGAGGCUG